rnacentral:tRNA from 1 species
AAUAUUUUAAGUUAAAAAAAACUAUUAACCUUCAAAGUUAAAAAUAUAUUUAUUAUAAAUAUUA